rnacentral:rRNA from 1 species
GGUUGACCUGCCGGCACUGACUGCUAUUGGAUUGGUACUAAGCCAUGCGAGUCGUUGUACAUACACGGCGGACUGCUCAGUAACACGUAGUUAAUCUAACCUAUGGAUGGGCAUAACCCUCGGCGAAACUGACCAAUAAUACCCAACUACACCACAGCUGCCUGCCAACUGGCCCUGUGGUUUCACAAUGACUUUACUCCCCGAUCCCGCAUGCGGACCUGCGCGCCCCUAUCAGCCUAGCUUCGGUGCAGGUAAUGUGCCCACCAAGCGCCUAUAACCACGUACGCGCCUCUGACCAGGCACGGGCCCGGACCAUGGGCUACUCGAGACACCGGACCCCAUCGCCCUAUGGCGCGCGCCCCAGGCGAGACACCUUUGCCCUCGUCGCGAAAGCACGACCAGGUCAAUCCGAGUGUCUCCUGCUAAAGGAGCUCUCUUGUCCUUGCUCGAAUCACUGCUGAAUAACGGGUGGGCCAGUUCUGGUGUCACCCGCCGCGGUAAACCAGCACCUCCAGUGGUCAGGAGGUCUAUCGGGCCUAACCCCUCCGUACCCG